UAUAUAUAUAUAUAUAUAUAUAUAUGGGGAGGGAUCAAAUUACACCGGUGUAACAUUUGAGUAAUGUUACACCGCUCAAUAACGCUUUAACGAAUUCAAAUUUUACAAAAUCCACCGUUGGAUUGAAAACUUAUAUUAUAUAGAUCAUCCAUGUUGAAUUUUACAAAAAUCUAAAAUCGUUUGAUAUGUUAUUGAGACCGAUGAAGAUUAAUGGUUUAUGCGUUU
rnacentral:lncRNA from 1 species